rnacentral:rRNA from 1 species
CCUACGGGAGGCAGCAGUGAGGAAUAUUGGUCAAUGGGCGGGAGCCUGAACCAGCCAAGUCGCGUGAGGGAAGACGGUCCUAUGGAUUGUAAACCUCUUUAGGCGGGGAGCAAUGCCGGGCACGCGUGCCCGGAGGGAGAGUACCCGCAGAAUAAGCCUCGGCUAACUCCGUGCCAGCAGCCGCGGUAAUACGGAGGAUGCGAGCGUUAUCCGGAUUUAUUGGGUUUAAAGGGUGCGUAGGCGGAUUUUUAAGUCAGCGGUAAAAUGUCCGGGCUCAACCCGGGCCGGCCGUUGAAACUGGGGAGCUUGAGUGGGCGAGAAGUAGGCGGAAUGCGUGGUGUAGCGGUGAAAUGCAUAGAUAUCACGCAGAACUCCGAUUGCGAAGGCAGCAUACCGGCGCCCGACUGACGCUGAGGCACGAAAGCGUGGGGAUCGAACAGGAUUAGAUACCCGUGUAGUC